AAGACCUUGCGCUUUUGGAGCGGCCGAUGCCUGAUUAGCUUGUUGGUAAGGUAAAGGCUUACCAAGGCUUCGAUCAGUAGCUGGUCUGAGAGGACGGCCAGCCACACUGGGACUGAGACACGGCCCAGACUCCUACGGGAGGCAGCAGUGGGGAAUUUUGGACAAUGGGGGAAACCCUGAUCCAGCCAUGCCGCGUGAGUGAAGAAGGCCUUCGGGUUGUAAAGCUCUUUCAGCCGGAACGAAACGGUUACGGAUAAUACCCGUGACUACUGACGGUACCGGAAGAAGAAGCACCGACUAACUACGUGCCAGCAGCCGCGGUAAUACGUAGGGUGCGAGCGUUAAUCGGAAUUACUGGGCGUAAAGCGUGCGCAGGUGGUUUUGUAAGUCAGAUGUGAAAGCCCCGGGCUCAACCUGGGAACU
rnacentral:rRNA from 1 species